AUUGAACGCUGGCGGAAUGCUUUACACAUGCAAGUCGAACGGCAGCACGGACUUCGGUCUGGUGGCGAGUGGCGAACGGGUGAGUAAUGUAUCGGAACGUGCCCAGUCGUGGGGGAUAACGUAGUGAAAAUUACGCUAAUACCGCAUACGAUCUAUGGAUGAAAGCGGGGGAUCGCAAGACCUCGCGCGAUUGGAGCGGCCGAUAUCAGAUUAGGUAGUUGGUGGGGUAAAGGCCCACCAAGCCAACGAUCUGUAGCUGGUCUGAGAGGACGACCAGCCACACUGGAACUGAGACACGGUCCAGACUCCUACGGGAGGCAGCAGUGGGGAAUUUUGGACAAUGGGCGCAAGCCUGAUCCAGCCAUUCCGCGUGCAGGAUGAAGGCCCUCGGGUUGUAAACUGCUUUUGUACAGAACGAAAAGGUUUCUACUAAUACUAGGAGCUCAUGACGGUACUGUAAGAAUAAGCACCGGCUAACUACGUGCCAGCAGCCGCCGUAAUAC
rnacentral:rRNA from 1 species